rnacentral:rRNA from 1 species
GAGGCGGGGCUAACAUGCAAGUCGAACGAUGAAGCCCUUCGGGGUGGAUUAGUGGCGAACGGGUGAGUAACACGUGGGCAAUCUGCCCUUCACUCUGGGACAAGCCCUGGAAACGGGGUCUAAUACCGGAUAACACUCCUGCCUGCAUGGGUGGGGGUUAAAAGCUCCGGCGGUGAAGGAUGAGCCCGCGGCCUAUCAGCUUGUUGGUGGGGUAAUGGCCUACCAAGGCGACGACGGGUAGCCGGCCUGAGAGGGCGACCGGCCACACUGGGACUGAGACACGGCCCAGACUCCUACGGGAGGCAGCAGUGGGGAAUAUUGCACAAUGGGCGAAAGCCUGAUGCAGCGACGCCGCGUGAGGGAUGACGGCCUUCGGGUUGUAAACCUCUUUCAGCAGGGAAGAAGCGAAAGUGACGGUACCUGCAGAAGAAGCGCCGGCUAACUACGUGCCAGCAGCCGCGGUAAUACGUAGGGCGCAAGCGUUGUCCGGAAUUAUUGGGCGUAAAGAGCUCGUAGGCGGCUUGUCGCGUCGGAUGUGAAAGCCCGGGGCUUAACCCCGGGUCUGCAUUCUAUACGGGCAGGCUAGAGUGUGGUAGGGGA